rnacentral:lncRNA from 1 species
UAGAAGUAAAGGGUGAGUGCUAGGCUAGCCACUAAAGAGAGGGUGUUGUACAUCUUGUGUAAUAUUGUUGUGUGUAAUAAAUUUCUAUUUCUUACAAGUGUUAGUCUCCUGGUUGGGUUAUAUAGUUUCUAAGUACUUAGUGCAUAAGUUGUGAUCCAUCGAAUGUUGGCUCUGUCAACCAGGAUUACAAGAGUUUGAACUUCAUCGUAGGUUAGCUCUGCCACCCAGAUGUCAGCUUCAUCUGUUGGUAUGCUCUGCCACCUAGAAGUGAGAAGGCAGCUCUGCCGUCGAAAAGACCUAUCGUACUAGGUAACUAGAAAUUAAAAGGGCUGACCGACUCCAGUCGAAAAGACCUAUCAUACUAGGUAACUAGAAAUUAAAAGGGUUGACCGACUCCAGAGUGAGUUGUUGUCCUAGGUGUAGGUCCUCAGAUUAGUGGGUAUCAGAGCCACCUCAAUUUCCAACAAUUAACAUAACAGAUUUAAUCAAGAUCUUAUGAAGGUAAACAUAAGAGUCCUUGCUCCGAACAAUGGACCUCAAUAGCGACGUUCUUGAUGCUGCCGAGCCAAAUUUGCAAGUCUGUUGCUCCUACAGACUCCAUGAAGGUGUUGUAGAGCAGCACUGUGGCAGUGUCACUCUAGCUCUUGUAUCCCUAAAUAAUUAGAACUACCUCACUUGUGUCAUGCAUGUCAUGUGUAGGAUAGAAAGCUCACUUCAAUUUUUUACACCUCCCCCUCUCCUGCGCUCUCUUCCCCUCCAACAAGCUUUGCAAAGGACCCUUUCUGAUGAAGCUUAAG